UGCCUUUAUGUGUUGCCCUUUCAUCAUUUCCUUGGUGAUCGGGUGUCAAAUAAGGCAUACAGGGAAACUUGUGACUGCCCUUUUUGUUUAAAGAGUUUUAUUCGACUCUAUUACACAAACAGUUGCAAGAACAAAU